UUAACAGAGUUAAAUAAAGUUCUAAGUAGAUAUUGAUUAUGACAGUAUUUGCUGAUGUCUUGACCAAGUCACGUGCCAGCAGUCGCGGUAAUACGUGGAAGAUUAGUGUUAUUCAUAUUUAAAAGGUUUAAAGGGUACCUAGACGGUUAAUUAAACAAAAAGAUAUAUGUAUUAAUAAACUAGAGUUUAAUGUAAGAAAGAUAGAGUACGGUGAGUGUAAAGAUAAAAUUUUAUGAUACCACUAAGGAACUGGUAAGGCGAAGGCAACUUUCUAUGUAAAAACUGACGUUAAGGGACGAAGGCACGGUAAAGAAAAUAGGAUUAGAGACCCUAGUAUUGCGAGCAGUAAAUGAUGAGUGUCAUAUACAAGAAAAUUUUUUGUGUAUAAAUGAAAGUGUAAGCACUCCACCUCAAGAGUAACGUGGCAACACGGGAACUGAAAUCAUUAGACCGUUUCUGAAACUCGUAGUGAAGUAUGUUGUUUAAUUUGAUGAUCCACAAAUAACCUUACCACACUAUGAAUUACAUCCAGUUUAACAUGCUGAUUGAUGUAACAAGCGUUGCACGGCUGUCUCCAGUUAAUGUUGUGAAACUGUGGUUAGAUCCAUUAAAUUGACGUAAACCCUCUCUCUACUUAUUGUAGAGUGGUUCGCCGCUA
rnacentral:rRNA from 1 species